AACGAACGCUGGCGGCAUGCCUAACACAUGCAAGUCGAACGAAGGCUUCGGCCUUAGUGGCGCACGGGUGCGUAACGCGUGGGAAUCUGCCCUUUGGUUCGGAAUAACAGCUGGAAACGGCUGCUAAUACCGGAUGAUGACGAAAGUCCAAAGAUUUAUCGCCAGAGGAUGAGCCCGCGUUGGAUUAGGUAGUUGGUGGGGUAAAGGCCUACCAAGCCGACGAUCCAUAGCUGGUCUGAGAGGAUGAUCAGCCACACUGGGACUGAGACACGGCCCAGACUCCUACGGGAGGCAGCAGUGGGGAAUAGUGGACAAUGGGCGCAAGCCUGAUCCAGCAAUGCCGCGUGAGUGAUGAAGGCCCUAGGGUUGUAAAGCUCUUUUACCCGGGAAGAUAAUGACUGUACCGGGAGAAUAAGCCCCGGCUAACUCCGUG
rnacentral:rRNA from 1 species